CAGAGAGUAGUUUAAUCUAAAAUGCCAGCUUUGGGAGUUGGUGAUAGAGGUUUGAUUCCUUUCUUUCUGA
rnacentral:tRNA from 1 species